AGAAAGAAGCCUUUCCGCCUUCCUACUCUGUAACCCUGCUUUUCGUUUCCUGUGUGUCCUUUCAGAGCUCCUUUUGCUUUCAAAAGCAAAUACAAAUACGGGCAGCUUCUGAAUGGAUGGCCAAGUGACUCUGGAGCUUCCGCGCUGUGUGAGGGCUGGGCUUUCUGUCCCUGUUCACCCUCGAACCCAGGCUUCAGCCACCGCACGGGAGAAGAUGGUUCAGACCGCACCUCUACCCUGACUCAGCACACACAGCUGUACCGUCAGGGGCUGCAAACCAACAUCUCUCAGGGCCUUCCUGGAAGCUGCAGCUGGACUCCCUUUGUACUCCAGGGUAGCAUCCCUGGAGGCCCAGGUCGGGGCUCCUGGAGGGUCCCUGGGCUCUGGGGGACAGAAGAAUAGGGAGGAAGAAUCCAGAUGUGGCUCACUGGGCUCUGUGGAUCUGGCACUGGAACAGCUGUCCAGGCUUUGGGGCCCCCGACACCCCUGCUGCUCUCCCUCAGGCCCCAGAUCUGCUUGGGCCCCCAGUGGGCAACCGCUCGGUGCUGGCCCACCACAGGGAAAUAUUCCGGUGGAGGGGGAUCUGAGACUGCCUUGGCCAAUAGAAUGCAGCCAAUGUGGUGCUAUGGGUCUGCCUGGCCUCGGCCUCGAGAGACCUGGGAGCUUCCAUUUAUGUCAUCUUGGAGUGCUGAGUUACCUUAAAGAAGUCUAAAACUCAGACCAUGUGGAAAGAGAGGAGCCAGCGGCCCUGCAGUCCUUCCAGCCUCCCAGCUGAGGCAACAGACAUGGUCAGAAGCCAUCUAGGACCUUCAGCGGCAGUGAAGUCUCCCCAGUCGACGCCACACAGAACUGAGAUGAGCUGUUCUCACCAAGCUCUGCCCAAGUUCCAGAGCUAGGAACAAAUAAACAGUUGUUUUAAACC
rnacentral:lncRNA from 1 species